CUCUUCUUUUCUUUAGGAAAAGGGAGCUGUGGAGACAGAAGCAGCGGAGAGAGGGACUCACCCAGCGGCGCCCUCACACAACUGCAGCAGCUAGCUGCUCGAGUUAGACCUACUAUGUGGUGACGAGCAACACCGGUACACCCCAAGGAACUGUACUGUCGCUGUUUCUGUUCACCCUCUACACCUCUGACUUUUGCAUCAACUUCUGGAACGUUGCUAUCUACAGAAGUUCUCGGAUGACUCCUCCAUUGUCGGCUGUAUCACAGAUGGACUACGGCGCAGCAAGAGGCCCCUCAACGUGUGCAAUAGGCUACUAUGGAUGUUAUACCAGUCUGUAGUGGCCAGUGUCAUCGUCUUUGCCGUGGUGUGCUGGGGAGGAGGCAUCUGGACUUGUGGUGCCAACAAACUAUGCAAGUUGGUGAAGAAGGUAGUGGGGAUGGAGCUGGACAGUGUGGAGGCAGCGACUGAGAAGAGGAAGAAGGGGCCGCUGAAAGCCAUCAUGGACAACCCCUCUCAUCCUCUACGCUGAGCUGAGGCAGCUCAGGAGCACUUUCAGCCACAGACUGAUCCAGCCCCGUGCCCCCGCUUGGGAGGCUCAUUUGUGCCAUCAGCCAUUCGACUCUAGAACGCCACAGCACACUAGUACCACCUACCCCUGCUGCCUGAGACUGCUAACUCUUAACCUGUUGAGCACAGCUCUUUUUUUGCACAAUGCUUCAAACAUUGCACAUGUUGUACAGAUAUACACAGGCAUAUUAUAUUCCACUUUAUUGUAUAUAGAGUAUAUAUUUUAUAUUUGUAUUAUAUUUUAUUGUAUUUUAUUCUAUCUUUACUCUUUACACUAUAUUCUCCUGUGCUGCUGUGCCAAAUUUUAAUUUCCCUACAGGGGAUCAAUUAUCUGUCAGGUUUAGCCAAUAGUUCACAAUCUGCACUGAGCUAAAUUUAGUUACAUUCCACCACAAGUCCUGGUAAACUCUCUAAUAAUUAAACAGAAAAACAAGGACUGUGGGACUGCAGCAUGCACAUGGAGGACCUUUCGAUUUUACAAAAGGUCCAAAGCAAAAAGGAAUAUUAUUUCAAUAGAAAUUGUAUUCCAAAACAUCUAGACAGCAAACUGUAGUAGAGGCAACUGUGUAUACUCACAAGGAUAUACCUGCACAUGUUCACUACCAUUCAGCUCCUCCACCUUUAACAGAGGCUGGCAUCAGUCAUCAGCAUCAUAUCUGAUUACUCUGUGCAGACUGUUAACUUUAGCGUUGCCACCUCCUAGCGGCUUUAUAGGCUAUAAACUCCAAGAAAUAUUCUAUCACCUUUGCAAUGAAGGCUUAAUGUGGUCACAGUUUUUACUUUCUAUAAAAAUUUCAAGCUUUUUUCCUACAAAGUACCUUUGCUGUGCUGUAAUUGUAUCCGUCUGGAUUCAGCGGUUCCCAGAGGGAGUUCAUUUAGUCUAGGCUGGGAAAAGAAAGUGAGCCAGGCGAUGGAUUAUGUAGUCUACAAGACUCACCUUCAGUUGAACAAGUAACCGAAACUGCUACUGGAGAGGCAUAUGGGAGAAACGGUUCGACUUCAGUCAGGCUGUCCACACACUCUGAUUAUUAAGUAAGACCAGAGGGAGAGAGAGAGAGAGAGAGAGAGAGAGAAAGAAGAGAAACAACCCAUUUUCCACCCCGCCCAAG